UACAGAGGGUGCAAGCGUUAAUCGGAAUUACUGGGCGUAAAGCGUGCGUAGACGGUUAUGUAAGUCAGGUGUGAAAGCCCCGGGCUCAACCUGGGAAUGCCAUUUGAGACUGCAUAGCUAGGGUACGGAAGAGGAAAGCGGAAUUUCAGGUGUAGCGGUGAAAUGCGUAGAUAUCUGAAGGAACACCAGUGGCGAAAGCGGCUUCCUGGUCCAGUACCGACGUUCAGGCACGAAAGCGUGGGGAGCAAACAGG
rnacentral:rRNA from 1 species